rnacentral:misc_RNA from 1 species
UCUCCGUAGGUGAACCCGCGGAGGGAUCAUUACAAGUGACCCCGGUCUUACCACCGGGAUGUUCAUAACCCUUUGUUGUCCGACUCUGUUGCCUCCGGGGCGACCCUGCCUUCGGGCGGGGGCUCCGGGUGGACACUUCAAACUCUUGCGUAACUUUGCAGUCUGAGUAAACUUAAUUAAUAAAUUAAAACUUUUAACAACGGAUCUCUUGGUUCUG